GUGUGACAAGGUGUGUUUAUGUGUGCUUUUAUGUGCCAGUGUGCGUAUCUGUGUGUGUGUGUAUAUCUGACACACAGAUACACACACACAUUGGCACAUAAUGGCACACAGAUGCACACACCUUGACAC